CAUGGGGAUGACAUUCUGGUGGAAGAUGCAGAAAAGCAAAAUGGCAUCACAAUCUGAACAGCAAAGGCUGUCACAGGAGAAGUGUGGAGUGCUGGGGCAGCACACAGGAGGGGUACCACACCCUGACCAGAAGUUCGAGGAAGGCUUCGUAAAAGGGCAUAUUAUAAAUUUGAGACUUGUGGGCUAAAUAAAAAUUAUCCAAGUGGAGAAUGAGAUUGAGGGGAAAAGGGCAGGGAGCUCAGCUCCGGGACAAAGAACGGCUGCUAAACAAAAAAGAACAACACUCAACAGUUCUGCCUGAUUAACCGGUAUAACUUUAGGCGAAAAUUCUGGAUGUUGGAUUGCUGGUUUGAAGAACAAAUGUCUGUGACGCUUUCUUCCCCUCCUGAGCAGUUGUGACAUUCUGCAUUCCCACCAGUGACGAGUGAGAGGGCCACUGCCUCUGUGUUGUCAAGUUUCUAAAAUUUUGCCAACUUGAAGGGCAUUGAAUACCUGACAUGUAUCCAGAGGAGAGUGACAAGAAUGGAGAAGUUUUCUUAAAUCAUCAUUUCUGAAGAACACGUGACAGGCCUGCUGAUAUUUGGAGAAGAAAAAGAAAACACUUAGAAGCCAGGAUACAGAUUCCAGCCUGCAGUUCAUACAGUCCAUUGGCUGGCUAUAUUUUCUGGCUUAGGAUAACUCUGAAAGCCACGUGUUGCAGACAGCAAACCAUCUAUCAGCUUGAGUUCCCGAAUUAUCUGUGGAGCAGAGCUUCCCUUCUGCCAUCUACUUUCCACCACACACACAUCAAUUGGAUUUUCUGUGAAAAAUAAAAA